AGUGAACGCUGGCGGUAGGCCUAACACAUGCAAGUCGAACGGCAGCACAGUAAGAGCUUGCUCUUACGGGUGGCGAGUGGCGGACGGGUGAGGAAUACAUCGGAAUCUACUUUUUCGUGGGGGAUAACGUAGGGAAACUUACGCUAAUACCGCAUACGACCUACGGGUGGAAGCAGGGGAUCUUCGGACCUUGCGCGAUUGAAUGAGCCGAUGUCGGAUUAGCUAGUUGGCGGGGUAAAGGCCCACCAAGGCGACGAUCCGUAGCUGGUCUGAGAGGAUGAUCAGCCACACUGGAACUGAGACACGGUCCAGACUCCUACGGGAGGCAGCAGUGGGGAAUAUUGGACAAUGGGCGCAAGCCUGAUCCAGCAAUACCGCGUGGGUGAAGAAGGCCUUCGGGUUGUAAAGCCCUUUUGUUGGGAAAGAAAAGCAGCAGGUUAACACCCCGCUGUUCUGACGGUACCCAAAGAAUAAGCACCGGCUAACUUCGU
rnacentral:rRNA from 1 species